rnacentral:lncRNA from 1 species
UGUUUAUUGUGGCACUAUUCACAGUAGCAAAGACUUGGAACCAACCCAAAUGCCCAUCAAUGAUAGACUGGAUUAAGAAAAUGUGGCACAUAUACAGCAUGGAAUACUGUGCAGCCAUAAAAAAGGAUGAGUUCAUGUCCUUUGUAGGGACAUGGGUGAAGCUGGAAACCACCAUUCUUAGCAAACUAUCACAAGGACAGAAAACCAAACACUGCAUGUUCUCACUCAUAGGUGGGAAUUGAACAAUGAGAACACUUACACAGGAAGGGGAAUAUCACACACCAGGGCUUGUCCCAUGGUGGGGGCCUGGGGGAAGGAUAGCAUUAGGAGAAAUACCUAAUGUAAAUGACGAGUUGAUGGGUGCAGCAAACUAACAUGGCACAUGUAUACUUACGUAACAAACUUGCACAUUGUGCACAUGUACCCUAGCUAGAACUUAAAAAGUAUAAUAAAAAAUUUAAUUUGUGUUUUAUAUAUCUAUAUUUAUCUAAAUAGGUUGAUAUAGAUAUGUGGAUGUAGAGAUUCACCAAUAUAUAGAUUUUGUCAAUUUCUUUUUAUAAGCUAUUAAAAUCAACUGGAUGUGUGUGUGCAGGUGUGUGUGUAUGUGUGCGUUUGUGUGUGUAUUAUUCAUGCUUUCUAUCAUAGUAGUUUGGCAUUCUAUGAGGAAUAGACCAGCUAAAAUGAAAUUCUUACAUUAAGGGAUAAAAAAGGAUAUAAUUUCUCUGCAUAAUAUUUUGUUGCUUCAGAAAAGUAAGUGGUGAAAACAUGGUAAUUGCAUAAUUAACUAAUAUUUCUUUUCUGCUUGAAAUAAAAUAGUAUUAUGAAUAAUUAUCAUUAUCUUCCUUAAAAAUAGAGACAGAGAUACAGCCAUCAUCUUUUUUUAUUUUAUAAAUAUACGUGUUUGUGCUGUCAAGUAAAUUCUGUAAGUUUCAUCUACAAAAAUAUGGACCAGUUCUUAGACAUGUGAGGAAGUCUAACAACUUCUUACUCAUUAGUUCCUGGAACUGGGGAAAAAAAAAAAAAAAAAACUUGGCGUAGUAUAUGUAUACUUUCAUUUGAAUUAAAACUUUUUUUUCUUUGCCUUUGGGCACACCCUUUCCUACUAUGGAUGAUACGGUUUUCACACGCGCACAUCUCAUUCUAUUUAUAUUUUUUGGAGUAAAUUGUUGGCAUCUUGUGAUGGAAUUGUUUCUAUUGCCAAAGAUAAAAAAAAAAAAAAAAAAAAAAAAAAAACAGACUACGUGGAAAAUAAAACAGAGAAAAUUAACAUGAGCUAAAAAAAGAAUUUCCUUAUAACAAGAGAUGUCAAAUUCUGGAAUGGGUCACUUUGGUGGAAAAGUUGAAAUUAUUUUCUCUGAAAAUGAUUAGAAAUUGGACAAGUGUGAAUCUUUAGUGACAAUAAAUGACAAUUCUUUGUCAUUUUAUUUCAUGGCAGGGCAGCAAUCCUUAUUCUUUUUUAAACAAAAAUACUUGUAAAAUUAGAUUGCAGAAAUAAAAUAUGCCUAUUAUAAAAGUACAAAAUAGUUUAAAAAUAAACUCGGAGUAGGCUAUUUCUUUGAAUAAUUUAGUGCAUGUCAUCCAUGCCAGGAAAUACACAUAUAUUCAUUCAUCCAUCCAUCCAUCCAUCCAUUUACUUCUUCAGCAAAAAUUUAUAAUGCAAUUUCUGAGUAUUAAUUACUAUCCUAGUAACUGAAGAUAGGGAACAAAACAAAAGUUCGCCAGCUCAUAGGAUUUAUAUUUUAGGAGGAGG